AGAGACCUAGCGGUCACCACCACCCCACCCCCACCCUCCCAUCACAUCACGUCGUCUCACCACCACCACACCGUCGGACCGCUGGAUCAAAGUGGUCAUCGACGCCACUGUCCUCAUUAGUCGUCUUUUCUCCCAUCACCCACUCCCUUUUUCUGAAAAACGGAGCUCGACAACUCAUAAAAGGUCGAUUGAGACCUCUGAGAAAGGGGAAGAGCAAAGAUCCAUCAGCCCUUCUCUCAAUCCGAUAGAUACAAGCCAGAAUCGGCAAUAUUUCUACCCCAAACGGCUCUUUCUCCUUCAAACCACCUCUGAAAAGUUCUCGCCCGAGGAAGGGCUAUUCCGAGUGGAUUCGGAGACUCGACGACGACACUAGCUUCAGUUCGCUGUCUCGAAAGAGGUUAGUGGUCGCCCUUGCUUCACGUUUGUUUUCGGUUGUUAGGAGUACAUAUCGAUGUAGCUAUUAAAUAAUUAUUCGCAGUUUUGCCUAUUUGAGUUUGUUUUGCUGCUGUGUGUCUGAAUCCGCACAUAAAAGAUAGCUAAGAAUACAUGAAGGAACUAUCGAUUAAAGUGUAGAAUAUGGGGAUGACUGUGUUGCUUGUUUGAAUGUCAUUUUAAAUACUUGUUAGAUGCCUGGUUCUACGUAAAUCUGUAUGAUAAAGAAGAUGCUUAGGUUAUGUGUUUGAAACUGUUCUUUAAGCCUUCCUCCGUCUUAAGGUUUGAGACUUAAACGAAUAUGGAAUUUCUAGCGUAAGUUGAUAACUGUUUGCAGCUGAAUAUAACUGGCUACACCUCUAUUCUUUGUUGUAAGAUUUUACGUAUUCCAUGAACCAGUUCUCUAGCCCCUUGUUUUUCACCCACAGGUUGUUUCUUUCCUUUCUUUAAACAUGUCAUUGUUUGCCUUGCCUUGUUAAUGUAUUUAUUUGAGCCUUGCCGGCUGUGGUUUGUUGAUCGUUAUUACUUCGCCUCAUCGGCUGUUGUUAUCGCUGUUUGCCCUGUGUUGCUGCCCAUUUUGGGAUAAGCCUUCCACUUCCAUGUUGUUGCUAUUUGUUGUUGUUGGGCUGCCCUGUUGGUGACCAUUUUAAGCCUAAUGACUGAUGUACUUAGCCAAAGCUCGCUGGUGUAUUUUGGGAAAAAUCGACUAAUGUGUUUAAAUUUCAAGGUGCUAUAAUUUUCGCUAUAAACUUUCUGCCAAACACGAGUAGAUGCUCCACUUAGCUGCUGGUUCGUAUUGUUAUACUUCGAGGCCGAAUGGCUGACUAUAGUUGACAUCCAACUGCUGCAUAUUGCUGUAGAUCUCAAUAAAAUUUGGGAUUUCCAUUUGAAGCUCGUAUGUUACUUAAUAGUUGUUGCGUUUUUGGCCAUUUUCUACUAUGUCCUUAGGCCAUUUGUUGCUGUAUUUUGGCCCUUCCUUAGGCCCUUUAUUUCCGCAUUUGAGUAAAUUAUCGUUGUUGUACUUAAGGCAGCCGCUGUAGCAUAUUCGGGCCAGUUUUUCUACAUUUUGAUGGCGCUCCUGUUACAUUUUUCUGGGAAAACAAUUGUUACAUUUCUAAAGGAAAAAUGCUACAUUUAAUUGAAAAUAGCUGCUGGUAUAUGUUUUGGUGACCCGGGCUCAGACACCAUAAGUCUUGAGUACUGAUAGUGAAUAGAUCUUUUACACCACUAUGUUAAGUUGAAAAUAGGUGAUUUGGGAUUGACUGUCGUAUGAAUAACAGACACCCUCUUGAAGAGGCUCGAUGGACCCUUAAAAUGUUUGAAAGUCUAUCUGAUAACUCAGUUGUAGGAAUUAGUUAAACCGGUCUAUCUCAUUGAAAGUUCCUUACGCACAGAUUAUUAUUUGGUCUUGUUUGUUUUACUCCUUUUUUUGGGAUAAAAGCUGCUCUAAUCCUUUUCUUUCUCUCUUUCUUUUUCUGCAUGAAACACUUGGGAGCAAUUGGAGUUAUGGCAACUCCGGAUUUUGCCCAGAAUUAGAAGAAAUCAGUAGCAGCUGCGUUUAUGCUCAUGUCUAACAGCCAUCAUUCGUGUCAAAAGAGUCCCCCAUCCUUCUUCCUCUCUCUAAACUUCAUGUCUUUGUAUUGACUAAUAUUAUAUCUGUUAUUUGUAUCUUGACUAACAUUUUUAUGGACUUGUGUUGUAGUGUUUUUGUUUUGGGUUUGUGCUCUUAAAAGAGUGAUUAAGUAGAAUGGUUUA